UGCUCCCUGGGAUAUGCGUGUGUUGGUAAUGUCCCUGUGCCGAUAUUUACAAACCCAGGGUGAAUGCUUUCAUUGACAUUGUGCAUGCUCGGCUCGUAUCGAGAAGCCUUAGGAUAUGAACAUUUACCCGCCUUGAACCUACGGUUCAAGGGCUUACACCAGCCACGGUAUUCUGGGGAGCAU
rnacentral:other from 2 species